AUUGAACGCUGGCGGCAGGCCUAACACAUGCAAGUCGAGCGGAGCGGCUGACGGGUGAGUAAUGCCUAGGAAUCUGCCUGGUAGUGGGGGAUAACGUCCGGAAACGGGCGCUAAUCCCGCAUCCUAUCAGCUGAGCCUAGGUCGGAUUAGCGAUUUGGUGGGGUAAAGGCCUACCAAGGCGACGAUCCGUAACUGGUCUGAGAGGCUGAUCAGUCAAACUGGAACUGAGAAAGGGUCCAGACUCCUACGGGAGGCAGCAGUGGGGAAGAUUGGACAAUGGGCGAAAGCCUGAACCAGCCAUGCCGCGUGUGUGAAGAAGGUCGUCGGAUUGUAAAGCACUUGAAGUUGGGAGGCGUUACCAACAGAAUAAGAAGCGGCUAACUUCGUGCCAGCAGCCGCGGUAAUAC
rnacentral:rRNA from 1 species